rnacentral:misc_RNA from 1 species
GGUGAAGAACGUAGCGAAAUGCGAUAAGUAGUGUGAAUUGCAGAAUUCAGUGAAUCAUCGAAUCUUUGAACGCACAUUGCGCCCGCCAGUAUUCUGGCGGGCAUGCCUGUUCGAGCGUCAUUUCAACCCUCAGGCCCCCAGUGCCUGGUGUUGGGGAUCGGCCCAGCCUUCCUGUAAGGCCGCCGGCCCCGAAAUCUAGUGGCGGUCUCGCUGUAGUCCUCCUCUGCGUAGUAGCACAACCUCGCAGUUGGAACGCGGCGGUGGCCAUGCCGUUAAACACCCCACUUCUGAAAGUUGACCUCGGAUCAGGUAGGAAUACCCGCUGAACUUAAGCAUAUCAAUAAGCGGAGGA